rnacentral:rRNA from 1 species
GACGAAGGGGGCAAGCGUUGUUCGGAAUUACUGGGCGUAAAGGGCGCGUAGGCGGCCUGAUGAGUCAGACGUGAAAGGCCUGGGCUCAACCUGGGAAUUGCGUUUGAUACUGUUGGGCUUGAGAGCGGGAGAGGAUGGUGGAAUUCCCAGUGUAGAGGUGAAAUGCGUAGAUAUCGGGAGGAACACCUGUGGCGAAAGCGGCCUUCUGGACUGUACCUGACGCUCAUACGCGAAAGCUAGGGGAGCGAAC